AGCAGCCGCGGUAAUUCCAGCUCCAAUAGCGUAUAUUAAAGUUGUUGCAGUUAAAAAGCUCGUAGUUGAAUUUCGGGGUUAGUAGGUUGGUCAUGCCUCUGGUAUGUACUGGUCUCACUGAUUCCUCCUUCCUGAUGAACCUUAAUGCCAUUAAUUUGGUGUUUUGGGGAAUUUGGACUGUUACUUCGAAAAAUUAGAGUGUUUAAAGCAAGCUAACGCUUGAAUACAUUAGCAUGGAAUAAUGAAAUAGGACGUUCGGUCCUAUUUUGUUGGUUUCUAGGAUUGACGUAAUGAUUAAUAGGGAUAGUUGGGGGCAUUAGUAUUCAAUUGUCAGAGGUGAAAUUCUUGGACUUAUUGAAGACUAACUACUGCGAAAGCAUUUGCCAAGGAUGUUUUCAUUAAUCAAGAACGAAAGUUAGGGGAUCGAAGACGAUCAGAUACCGUCGUAGUCUUAACCAUAAACUAUGCCGACUAGGGAUCGGAUGAUGUUAAUUUUUAAUGUACUCAUUCGACGCCUUAC
rnacentral:rRNA from 1 species